rnacentral:rRNA from 1 species
ACGGGAGGCAGCAGUGGGGAAUAUUGCACAAUGGGGGAAACCCUGAUGCAGCGACGCCGCGUGAGUGAAGAAGUAUUUCGGUAUGUAAAGCUCUAUCAGCAGGGAAGAAAACAAUGACGGUACCUGACUAAGAAGCCCCGGCUAACUACGUGCCAGCAGCCGCGGUAAUACGUAGGGGGCAAGCGUUAUCCGGAUUUACUGGGUGUAAAGGGAGCGUAGACGGUGAGGCAAGUCUGAAGUGAAAGCCCGGGGCUCAACCCCGGGACUGCUUUGGAAACUGUCUGACUAGAGUGCAGGAGAGGUAAGUGGAAUUCCUAGUGUAGCGGUGAAAUGCGUAGAUAUUAGGAGGAACAUCGGUGGCGAAGGCGGCUUACUGGGCCUUUACUGACGCUGAGGCACGAAAGCGUGGGGAGCAAACAGGAUUAGAUACCCUGGUA